CUCAAGUGAUUAUGUCGGAAUGAGUAGACGAUAAAACGGGUGAGAAUCCCGUUCGCCGCAAACCUAAGGUUUCCUGGGGAAGGUAAAUCCGCCCAGGGUUAGCCGGUACCUAACACAAGGCCGAAAGGCGUAGUGGAUGGACAGCAGGUUAAUAUUCCUGCGCUCACCGUGCAAUAAGGGACGCUGAGAUCGAGUCCAGCAGGCUUAGUAGAUUGCCUCAGGGCGUUUAAGAUCCCGAUAUGGAUGAGAUCACAGCCAAGAAAACCGCACGGUAGCCGUACUAAAACCGACACAGGUAGGUGAGAUGAAUAUUCUAAGGCGCUCGAGAGAACUCUCGUGAAGGAACUCUGCAAAUUAAAUCCGUAACUUCGGGAAAAGGAUUGCCCCACUCCGGUGGGGUCGCAGUGAAAAGGUUCUAGCGACUGUUUACUAAAAACACAGGUCUGUGCGAACACGUAAGUGGCGGUAUACAGACUGACGCCUGCCCGGUGCUGGUAAGUUAAGGAAGAGGGUUAGCCCGUAAGGGUGAAGCUCGCAACCGAAGCUCCAGUAAACGGCGGCCGUAACUAUGACGGUCCUAAGGUAGCGAAGUUCCUUGUCGGGUAAGUUCCGACCUGCAUGAAUGGCGUAACGACUGGAACACUGUCUCCACGAGAGACUCGGUGAAAUUGUAGUUGUCGUGAAGAUGCGACAUACCCGCAGCUAGACGGAAAGACCCCGUGAACCUUAACUGUAGCUUGGUAUUGGGUUUAGACCCAACAUGCGUAGCGUAGGUGGGAGACUGUGAAACGAGGGUUUCGGCCCUUGGUGAGUCGUCGAUGAAACACCACCCUUGUUGUGUUUGAAUUCUAACAACGUCCUAUGAAUCUAGGCGUCGGACAGUGCUAAGUGGGCAGUUUGAUUGGGGCGAUCUCCUCCUAAAAGGUAACGGAGGAGUGCAAAGGUACCCUCAGCCCGGUUGGCAAUCGGGCAACGAGCGUAAACGUAGAAGGGUGCUUGACUGCGAGACCGAUAGGUCGAGCAGGGACGAAAGUCGGCGUUAGUGAUCCGGUGGUCCCGAAUGGAAGGGCCAUCGCUCAACAGAUAAAAGGUACUCCGGGGAUAACAGGCUUAUCUCCUCUGAGCGUUCAUAGCGGCGAGGAGGUUUGGCACCUCGAUGUCGGCUCAUCACAUCCUGGGGGUGGAGAAGCUCCCAAGGGUUCGGCUGUUCGCCGAUGAAAGUGGUACGUGAGCUGGGUUUAGACCGUCGUGAGACAGGUCGGUCCCUAUCUGCUGUGGGCGUAGGAAAUUUGCGGGGCUUUCUCCCUAGUACGAGAGGACUGGGAGGGACGCAACUCUGGUGUGCCAGUUGUGACGCUAGUCGCAUCGCUGGGUAGCCACUUGCGGAAUGGAUAAACGCUGAAAGCAUAUAAGCGUGAAACUUCCCCCUAGAUCAGAUUUCCAUGAAGACUCCAGGGAGACUACCUGGUCGAUAGGCCGGGUGUACAAGUUCAGCAAUGAACUCAGCUAACCGGUACUAACAGUCAACCGUUUGGCCAA
rnacentral:rRNA from 1 species